rnacentral:rRNA from 1 species
AACGAGCGCUGGCGGCGCGUCUUAACCAUGCAAGUCGAGCGGCAGGCAGCAAUGCCGAGAGCGGCGGACUGGUGAGUAACACGUGGAUAACGUACCCCGAUGUCCGGGACAGCCUGUAGAAAUAGAGGGUAAUACCGGAUAGAUCACUGUUUACGUGAGGUAGACAGCGGGAAAGGAGCUUCGGCUCCGCGACGGGAUCGGUCUGCGGCCCAUCAGCUGGACGGCGGGGUAAAGGCCCGCCGUGGCGAGGACGGGUAUCCGGCCUGAGAGGGCGGACGGACACAUUGGGACUGAGAUACGGCCCAGACUCCUACGGGAGGCAGCAGGUAAGAAUAUUCCGCAAUGGGGGGAACCCUGACGGAGCGACGCCGCGUGAACGAAGAAGGCCGGAAGGUUGUAAAGUUCUUUUCUGUCCGAGGAAUAAGUUUCGGAGGAAAUGCCGGGACGGUGACGGUAGGGCAGGAAUAAGCACCGGCUAAUUACGUG